CUCAGUAACACGUGGUUAAUCUGCCCUAAGGUGGAGGAUACUCCCGGGAAACUGGGGCUAAUACUCCAUAGGUGACACGAACUGGAAUGUUGUGUCUCCGAAAGAUCCGUCGCCUUAGGAUGAGACUGCGUCCGAUUAGGUAGUUGGUGGGGUAACGGCCCACCAAGCCAGUCAUCGGUACGGGUUGUGGGAGCAAGAUCCCGGAGAUGGAUUCUGAGACAUGAAUCCAGGCCCUACGGGGCGCAGCAGGCGCGCAAACUUUACAAUGCGAGCAAUCGUGAUAAGGAAACCCUGAGUGCCUGUUGAUGCAGGCUGUUCAUCUGUUUAAAUUGCAGGUGAAGAAAGGGCAGGGCAAGACCGGUGCCAGCCGCCGCGGUAAUACCGGCUGCUCGAGUGAUGGCCACUAUUACUGGGUUUAAAGCGUCCGUAGCUUGAUAAUUAAGUCUCUUAGGAAAUCUUCAGGCUUAACCUUAAGGCGUCUAAGAGAUACUGGUUAUCUUGGAACUGGGAGAGGUAAACCGUACUUCAGGGGUAGGAGUGAAAUCUUGUAAUCCUUGAGGGACGACCUAUGGCGAAGGCAGUUUACCAGAACAGCUUCGACAGUGAGGGACGAAAGCUGGGGGAGCAAACGGGAUUAGAUACCCCGGUAGUCCCAGCCGUAAACAAUGUACGUUAGAUGUAUCGGCAACCACGCGUUACUGAUGCGUCGCAGAGAAAUCGUGAAACGUACCACCUGGGAAGUAUGGUCGCAAGGCUGAAACUUAAAGGAAUUGGCGGGGGAGCACCACAACAGGUGG
rnacentral:rRNA from 1 species